UACGUAGGGAGCAAGCGUUGUCCGGAAUCAUUGGGCGUAAAGGGCGCGUAGGUGGCGACCCAAGUCGAUGGUGAAAGCUCGCCGCUCAACGGCGAGUCGGCCACCGAUACUGGGUUGCUCGAGCACUGUAGAGGCUAAUGGAAUUCCGGGUGUAGCGGUGGAAUGCGUAGAGAUCCGGAAGAACACCGGUGGCGAAGGCGGUUAGCUGGGCAGUUGCUGGACAACUGAGGCGCGACAGCGUGGGGAGC
rnacentral:rRNA from 1 species